rnacentral:rRNA from 1 species
AACGAACGCUGGCGGCAGGCUUAACACAUGCAAGUCGAGCGCCCCGCAAGGGGAGCGGCAGACGGGCGAGUCACGCGUGGGAAGCCACCCAUCUCUACGGAAUAACGCAUGGAAACGUGUGCUAAUACCGCAUACGUCCUUCGGGAGAAAGAUUUAUCGGAGAUGGAUGAGCCCGCGUUGGAUUAGCUAGUUGGUGGGGUAAAGGCCUACAAAGGCGACGAUCCAUAGCUGGUCUGAGAGAAUGGUCAGCCACACUGGGACUGAGACGACGGCCCAGACUCCUACGGGAGGCAGCAGUGGGAAAUAUUGGACAAUGGGCGCAAGCCUGAUCCAGCCAUGCCGCGUGAGUGGUGAAGGCCCUAGGGUUGUAAAGCUCUUUCACCGGUGAAGAUAAUGACGGUAACCGGAGAAGAAGCCCCGGCUAACUUCGUGCCAGCCGCCGCGGUAAAAC